UUUUUAAUGAGAGUUUGAUCCUGGCUCAGGAUGAACGCUGGCGGCAUGCCUAAGACAUGCAAGUCGUACGAAGCGGCCCACUGAAGUCUGAGUGCUUGCACAAAGAUGGACGUGGAUCACCGCUUA
rnacentral:rRNA from 1 species